ensembl:lncRNA
UCCCUUUACAGCAGGCCUGCCCUUUCGGUGAGACCUGUGAUGGCAAUUCCAUCGAUCAACACUCUUAAAGGAGUAAGAAACAGAGACAAAAUUCUCUUGGCACAAUUUAACAGUUUAUUAAUUAUUUGCAAAUAAGAGAGACGCGUCAAACGCUUACAAACAUAAUCAUCCGAGGAGUCUCUAACGUAAUACAUGAACAGUUCGUAUUUAUUACAGUUAAAAGGGGUGUGGUAAGAUGCUGCCCAGCUGUCCUAUGUCAAUAAAACACAUUCCCAUUGUUCUAUUCCUACCUAGGCUUCACACAAAGGACAAGCUCUCCUUGUACUAAAAUAAAAAAGAAAUCCCAAAGUUUCGAAUAUAUUUGCUGAGGGACUCUUAUUUGGAGAAAAUGUAUCUUUCUGCUACCAGAUUGUAAGAUUGUGCUGUCAGCAUCCUGCUGCCAAAAGAACACAGAAAGAACAUGAGGGACUUUCCACGUUAAGUUUAACUAUUUACUUUCACUUUUAUAGCAGAAGCCUCAGAAAAGUGUUCUGUUUAGUGUUCGGAAUGGCGAAUGAACUCCAUGUCAAAUCGUCUGGAUUGACAAUAAUGUGAAUAAUGUUUACAGUUUUAUUAAACAGUUUGACAUACAAAUCAUGUCAGACCAUUUCACACCUUUAUUAAGCACUUCUAACCAACAAUAUUAAGUGAAAAAACAAGAUAAUCUCUCCAGUGGCAUGUAUUCAUGGAAGCCAGGCUACCCCCCAAAAUGUGACCAUUAAAAAGAAAAACAUAAUUAAGAAUUAAUCUUUAUUUUAGUUUCUGUUUUGCUCUGGAAAUCAUCUGAAGGCGCUGAACAGACCCUCUUUGUCUGAGUAGGUGUAGCCUGUGUAUUUCAUGCUGUCUGGCUAAAAAGAGUAUAACUGCUCAGUCACAUUUGCACAGUUGCAUUUGCCAUCCUUGUAGAUAUCUGUCAAUCAGCUUUGAGCUGAGCUCAACAUUGUGUGGUCUUUGUGCAAGAAAACACCUCCAUGGGAAACCAGUCAGGAUUUAACAGGUACAAGAUUUGGGAUUUUUCAAUUAACCAUUAACUCAGCAAACUUGAGCAACCAGCUUUGAGUCAUGAUGACUUGUUUACAUUAGUUUGAGAUAAACAUGGCCCCGCCCCUGAAGAUAUGAGUACUUGACCUUUUGUACCACAAAUGUUUUUACAUGUUCAGAUGACCAGCGGGUCCAUAAAUGACAGGUGCUUUGAUGGAAAAACCCUAAACCUAACCCUAACCCCUAACCCUAACCCCUAAACCUAACCUAACCCUAACCCAUCUGCUGAUAACUAGGUGGACUGGGACAGGGAUGACAAGGUGGACAAGGACAGGUGUGACCAGUUGGAUAAGGACAGGCAUAACUAGGUGGACAAGGACAGGCAUAACUAGGUGGACAAGGACAGUCAUGACCUUGUGGACAAGGACUGGCAUGACCAGGAAUGGCAAAUUAUGCUGGCAGCCCUCAGAUUUUCUUUAUGACAAUAAAAGCCUUCAUUGAAAUGUAUAAGGCACUAUAGUUAACAAUCUGAAUCGGGCAAAGAUGGACAACAAUACAUGGCUUUAGUUUUUUUUAUUAAAAACUUCAUAAUUUUGGAAUCAAAUUCAAUUCAAUAGUUCCUAAACAAAGUCAUUCAUGAGUACUAAAAUACAUUUGAAUAAAGAAAGAAAAAUAUGUGGAUUGUAGUCCAUCCACCCCCAAUAAAUAAUAUGCACUUU